rnacentral:lncRNA from 1 species
AAAGGAGCCGCGAGUUUGGACGACUACAGCCCGCCUUCUUGUUGGGAGCCCUGGAGAUCCUUGGAACCUCUGUCCUGGCCCCCCAUCCCCCCCCCCCGAUGUGGAACCGGUCUUCAGCCUGGGUCCAGGCCCUCGCCGGUACGGGGAGUCUGACGUAGGCGGACCGUGGGAGGGAGCAGGGCCACGGAGAAUUAAGGAGGAGCCUCCUCCAGUCCCAGCUCUGGGUCUGCAAAGAGUGGGUCUGCAGAUCAAGUGUAUGGGAUUUUGCAAUUUCCUAACACGUCCACCCAGUUCCUUAUAUAGGACUUUGCUUACAAAACAGAAAGCUGUUGGCAUCCAAAAACAGAAAACUAAUAAAUCCUUUUAAGAAGCAAGCGUAUUGAUGUACUCCUGUAAUCCCAGUACUCGGAAGUUGUGGCAGGAUUGCUAUGAGUUCGAGGCCAACCUGAACUCAUAGCAACCUAAACUAGCUUGAGACCAUACCCCGCCCCUCCCACCUAAAAAAGAAAAAGUUCAGAUUAGGUGUUUGGAUAGCCAGCUGUGGCCCCCAUGCCACACCCAAGGACAGUUCCCAAGGUGGGGGAUGUGGUCAGUCCGGGAAUUUUAGCCACCAGAGAGAGCUGGAGGUGGGGGGCAGGGAGGUAUGCUAGUUAGAAGAACAGAAUCAGUCCUACAUGUAGAAGGAAUCAAGAAAUUUCUCUGAGAUAGAGUCAGUUGUUCCUGGAGGUGGGACGGGGCUGGUAGGGAACAUAUAGUGAGCUGGGUAACCCUUGCUAGUCUAGGCCUCCAGAAAGCCCUGUCCAGUGGGGCUGCUGCGCUGUAGCCUGCGAGGAGGCAUCCAAAGAAACAGUACUACAGACAUACUAGAACCCUGUUUGCAACGACAGUUCUUCUGGUGGGUUCAUUCUUUAAUUUUGUAUUUAGUUUGUAUGUAUGGUGUGCAUUGGUUCAGACACACACGCUACAGAAAACAGGUUGCAAUUAUCAGUUCUCUUCUUAUAGCAUGGGUUCUGGGAUUUGAAUUCGGGUCAUGAAGCUUGGUGACAAGGGCUCUUACUCACUGAGCCAUCUUGCCCGCCCGCUAUAGAUGGACUUUUCAGAGGUUAACAACCGCCGGAAUUAAUUUUAACAGGGCAUUUACUUAACGCAAUGGAUGUGAACAUCAUCCAGUGUGGAACUAGCAUUUAGCAAUGUUAAUGAGCUUCCCACAGCAAGGCUUUGAAAUGAGUAUCUGGUGCUUACAGCGCAGUGCCCAGUAACCACAUGCUCCCUACCAAGUGUUUCCCAACUCUUGGCACCAUCUGAGAAAGAAUUCAGAGAUGCG